rnacentral:rRNA from 1 species
UACGUAGGGUGCGAGCGUUGUCCGGAAUUAUUGGGCGUAAAGGGCUCGUAGGCGGUUUGUCGCGUCGGGAGUGAAAACACCGGGCUUAACUCGGUGCUGGCUUUCGAUACGGGCAGACUAGAGGUAUGCAGGGGAGAACGGAAUUCCUGGUGUAGCGGUGAAAUGCGCAGAUAUCAGGAGGAACACCGGUGGCGAAGGCGGUUCUCUGGGCAUGUCCUGACGCUGAGGAGCGAAAGUGUGGGGAGCGAACGGG